CUGGAGGUAUCAGAAGUGCGAAUGCUGACAUAAGUAACGAUAAAGCGGGUGAAAAGCCCGCUCGCCGGAAGACCAAGGGUUCCUGUCCAACGUUAAUCGGGGCAGGGUGAGUCGACCCCUAAGGCGAGGCCGAAAGGCGUAGUCGAUGGGAAACAGGUUAAUAUUCCUGUACUUGGUGUUACUGCGAAGGGGGGACGGAGAAGGCUAUGUUGGCCGGGCGACGGUUGUCCCGGUUUAAGCGUGUAGGCUGGUUUUCCAGGCAAAUCCGGAAAAUCAAGGCUGAGGCGUGAUGACGAG
rnacentral:rRNA from 1 species